rnacentral:lncRNA from 12 species
CCCAAGUGGAAUACCCAAGGAUAAGAAGGAUCUGUUUUUAUCCCGAAUUUCUCAGAGAAACAAGUGCUUCUUGUAACAUGAGGCCAGUGCUACUGGAAAAGGAGGAGGGGAUGAGAAGAAUUAACUCACCUGUGCAGUGAAGGAGUCCUUAUGAAACCUGCAGUGGG